rnacentral:rRNA from 1 species
AUUGAACGCUGACGGCAGGCCUAACACAUGCAAGUCGGACGGUAGCACAGAGAGCUUGCUCUUGGGUGACGAGUGGCGGACGGGUGAGUAAUGUCUGGGGAUCUGCCCGAUAGAGGGGGAUAACCACUGGAAACGGUGGCUAAUACCGCAUAACGUCGCAAGACCAAAGAGGGGGACCUUCGGGCCUCUCACUAUCGGAUGAACCCAGAUGGGAUUAGCUAGUAGGCGGGGUAAUGGCCCACCUAGGCGACGAUCCCUAGCUAGUCUGAGAGGAUGACCAGCCACACUGGAACUGAGACACGGUCCAGACUCCUACGGGAGGCAGCAGUGGGGAAUAUUGCACAAUGGGCGCAAGCCUGAUGCAGCCAUGCCGCGUGUAUGAAGAAGGCCUUCGGGUUGUAAAGUACUUUCAGCGGGGAGGAAGGCGGUGCGGUUAAUAACCGUACCGAUUGACGUUACCCGCAGAAGAAGCACCGGCUAACUCCGUGCCAGCCGCCGCCGUAA